GCCCUGACCUUGCUGGAGCUUGCUGAAGGCAGCAGAAGCCUCCUUGAAAAUGAUAUCUACAGCUUUUAGGAAGCUACCUACCUCACGGCAUGAGAGACUUGCUUGGGCUGUACUCUCUUGUAGGAGCCAGCUCCACCUUGAUGCAGCCUGGACCCACUGUGGACAGGAGGUUGAAGGACUGCAUGGACAGAAGCUGAGCUGGUGGACAUGGGGAGAAGGAGGAAGAGCAAACUGUAGCAUCUCAAAUGUGGGGCAGAGGACCUAUGCUGGAACUGUGAAGCUGUCAACAACUAGAACAGUCUCUACAGGACAUGCAAUAGUUCCGGCACUUGAGUGGGCAAAGUGCAGGUAGAGCCUGGGCAUUCCUGGUGAUGGUUUCUCAACUCUGUUUCCCAAGUGUACAUCAAUUUCAACCUUGAAAGCUCUGCUUACUCCAAGAAUAGUAACGUGGGCAGUGGGAAGCAGUGUGUGGUGUGAGCUGUAUGCCAUGGAGGGCGGAGGCACAGGGAGGAGAAGACGUGAACCAAAAGGCUCUGCCCUG